rnacentral:rRNA from 1 species
GACGAACGCUGGCGGCGUGCUUAACACAUGCAAGUCGAACGGAAAGGCCCUGCUUUUGUGGGGUGCUCGAGUGGCGAACGGGUGAGUAACACGUGAGUAACCUGCCCUUGACUUUGGGAUAACUUCAGGAAACUGGGGCUAAUACCGGAUAGGAGCUCCUGCUGCAUGGUGGGGGUUGGAAAGUUUCGGCGGGUGGGGAUGGACGCGCGGCUUAUCAGCUUGUUGGUGGGGUAGUGGCUUACCAAGGCUUUGACGGGUAGCCGGCCUGAGAGGGUGACCGGACACAUUGGGACUGCGAUACGGCCCAGACUCCUACGGGAGGCAGCAGUGGGGAAUAUUGCACAAUGGGCGGAAGCCUGAUGCAGCAACGCCGCGUGCGGGAUGACGGCCUUCGGGUUGUAAACCGCUUUCGCCUGUGACGAAGCGUGAGUGACGGUAAUGGGUAAAGAAGCACCGGCUAACUACGUG